ACUUACGGCCAUACCACCCUGAACGCGCCCGAUCUCGUCCGAUCUCGGAAGCUAAGCAGGGUCGGGCCUGGUUAGUACUUGGAUGGGAGACCGCCUGGGAAUACCAGGUGCUGUAAGCC
rnacentral:rRNA from 15 species